CCAGGUCUUGACAUCCUCUGACAAUCCUAGAGAUAGGACGUCCCCUUCGGGGGCAGAGUGACAGGUGGUGCAUGGUUGUCGUCAGCUCGUGUCGUGAGAUGUUGGGUUAAGUCCCGCAACGAGCGCAACCCUUGAUCUUAGUUGCCAGCAUUCAGUUGGGCACUCUAAGGUGACUGCCGGUGACAAACCGGAGGAAGGUGGGGAUGACGUCAAAUCAUCAUGCCCCUUAUGACCUGGGCUACACACGUGCUACAAUGGACAGAACAAAGGGCAGCGAAACCGCGAGGUUAAGCCAAUCCCACAAAUCUGUUCUCAGUUCGGAUCGCAGUCUGCAACUCGACUGCGUGAAGCUGGAAUCGCUAGUAAUCGCGGAUCAGCAUGCCGCGGUGAAUACGUUCCCGGGCCUUGUACACACCGCCCC
rnacentral:rRNA from 1 species